GAGAAACACAAAGUUUGCAUUUUCACUCGGUCAUUAAGCUCUUCAAGGAGAACAGAAGCGUCCAUAAAACAGAAUGCUGUUGGAGGGAUUGUGUCGGAUGAAGAAAAGGAAAGGAUGGUCUGCAAUAAAGACUGGGUUUUCCGAAAUUGAGGUUAUUCCAGCCACGACGCCGGUGGCUGCAGCCGCUUCGGUUCCUUCCUCGUUUACUUCAACAAAGGCUUUAUGAAGCGCCUUCGUCACCACCAGGUCGUUGUUGGGUGACAUGCCUGAAAGAUUCACCUUCUGCACAUUAAA